ACCAAAACCGGAACAAUAUUAGACUACUCAGUUGCGCCUAACGUAUAACUUUGAACGAGUACUUUAUUCUCAUCUAUCGGGAACAAAGAGUAAAAGCUAAUAUCUAUUGUUCUAUUAUGCACCUGAGAAUGUAAAUUGGAACGAAGUGAUGUCUAUUUUCAGGGAAGAUAGAAAACUGGAACAACAUUAGCUACUCAGUUGCGCAGCUAACGUAUAAAAUUUUGCAAGCGAGUACUUUUUCUCAUUCAAUCGAACAAAGGGAGUAAAGCUAAUUAUAUUGUUUCGUAUUAUGCCCCGAGAUUGCAUAAUUCUAGAACGAACGAUGUUUCAACGUUGAAAAGACACCAGAACUCCAAAACCACUAUUAGACUACUUCAGUUGCCCCCUAACAGUAUAACUUUGCAACGAGGUCUUUUUUCAUUCAAUCGAACCAAAGGAGUAAACGUAAUUAUAUUGGGUCUAUAUAUUCCGCCAGAGAGUGUUAAUUUAGAACGGAAUCGACUGUCGAAUGGUUGACAAGAACCAAAACGGAAACAACAUUAGACUACUCUGUUGCGCGCUAACAGUAUAACUUUGCAACGAUAUACUUUUCUCAUCAAUCGAAAAAGAGUAAAAGCUAAUUAUACUCGUUCGAUAUGCCUCUGGACUGUAAAUUUGGAACAAAUCGUUCUUCACCUUCAAAGAACCAAAAAUCGGAACAACAUUAGACUUCGAGUUGGCCGCCAAACGGGCAAAAUUUGCAACGAGUAACUUUUUCUCAUUCAAUCGAACAUAAGAGUAAAAGCUUACAUUAAAUUGGUUCUAUUAAUGCCUCGAGAGUGUAAACUUUGGAAAGAUAUGGAUGUCAACGUUGAACAAGAACAAAAAGCCGGAACAACUUAGAUUACUCAGUUGCGCCCUUAACAGUAUAACUUUGCAACGGAGUAGACUUUUUGUCUCAUUUCAAUCGAACAAGUGUAAAAGCUACAAUUAUAUUGUUCUAUUAUUCCUCCGAGAUUGUUACUUAAACGAUCGUUUUCAACCUUCACAAGAAUCAAACACACGGAAACAUCUAUGACUGCUUAGUUGCGCACCUAACGUAAUUAAAUUUGCAACGAGUACUUUUUCUCAUUCAAUCGAAUUAGAGAGCAAAAGUUUAAUCUAUAUUGUUCCUUUAAUGGGCCAGUCCGGGAGGGUAAAUUGGAACGAAUCGUUGUCAACCCUUCACAAGAAACCAAAACCGGAACCAAUAUUAGACUACUCAGUUGCGCUCCUAACAGUAUAACUUCGCAACGAGUACUUUUUCUCAUUAAUCGAACAAAGAGUAAAAGCUAAUUAUCUUAAUCUUUAUGCCAGGAUUGUUAACUUUAGACGAAUCGCCUGUUCCAAUGUUCACACGAACAACAAGGCCGGAACAACAUUAGACUUACUCAGUUGCGCACCCUAACAUAUAACCUUUGCAACCAUACUUACAUCUCUCCCUCAUUCUAUCGAACAUAAGAGUAAAAGCUGAACUGAAUAUAUUGUUCUACUACUGCCUCAGGAGAGUGUAAAUUUGGAACGGGAUCGAAUGCACCUUCACAAGAAUCAAAACCGGGACAACAUUAGACAAGUCAGUUGUGCCUAAUUAGUAUAAAUGUUUGUACGAGUACUUUUUCUCAUUACAAAUCUAAAAAAGAGUAAAAUCUUAAUUAAUAUAUUCUUAUUAUGCCAGCGAGAGUGCUAAAUUUGGAACAAAAAUUAUGGUCCAACCUUCACAAGAACCAAAAAACCGGAACAACAUUUAGACACUCAGUUGCGCCCGUAACCGGAUAUACUUUGAACGAGUACUUUUUCUCAAUCAAUCGACAAAAGAGUAAAACCUAUAAUUAUAAUAUGAUUCUAUAUGGCCGCCGGAGAGUGUAAAUUUGGAACAAAUUUGAUGUCAAACCUGUUCACAAGAACAAAAACCGGAACAAAUUAGAAAACUCAGUUGCGCCAUAACAGUAUAAGCUUUGCAACGAAGUACUUUUUUCAAAAUCAAUCGAACAAAGAGUAAAAAGCUAAUUCUAUUGUUCUAUGUUAUGCACUUGAGAAUGUAAAUUCGGAACAAGCGAGUGUCGUAUUUUCAGAAGAUAGACAAACUGGAACCAACAGUAGUUGUCACUGCCCGAGACCGCUCCCGAAAUUUUUGGUCCGGUUCGCGGGGCACCGCGACAGCCGCCGAACGGACGCGUUUCCCCUGUCGCGGAACAGGAGAGCUCCCCUGGUACGUUCCUAGGGCGUCGCCAAUCCAAAACAAGUGUCACAUUACAAAAGAUUCCAGACCAGGGAACAGUACUCAGCAAACAGAAUUGCAAUCAGGAACGGUAUCAGAUCCAACAGUUAAAAACACAAUACCUAAUGAUAUUUACGACAGCAUUCACAUUACGAUGCACAUUCAUUACAUUCAACUUCCUGAAUACCAAUUAAGUUAUUAAACAUUUAUUUUUUACAGACAUUGAUAAUUUUGCUGUGCUUUUUUUCUAUACCUAAGCUAGUCGACGCCGGGGUGCUGGCGAGCUCUGGCCUCUGGGGUAGGGCGCCUAUCUAAUGGGAGUACGCCCUUGCCAUCGGCGCCGCCGCGCCGCUCACGUCGCGAACCUUUAAACCCCAAAGAACAGGCGUGGGGGUGGAACCAACUCCAUGGGGUUUCCCAGUGCGGUUAAGCCACCCGAAGGGAGGAGCGUCGAACAACAGGUCCAAGGGAAGGCAAAUACAAGUUAGGUCCAAUAAGACAGAUAGAUAAAUGUAUACUCAUAAUAUUCAUGCAACUAACUAUUACACUUGGCGUUGUUGCCUCACAACUGCAAUGAUGCAUGCUAUUACCUGGCAACCAGGAACGGUUGGAACGCUGCGCCUAGUGAGAUGAUUAUGUUGAUUCUGACGAUUCAAUCUCGCUAAUCUUAAGCUCAUGUCAUCCAACUCUAAGGUGUUCCCGCUAACUGCUAGGUUAACAAUCUACCACUAGCCUCAAGGUUCUAUUCUACCUUAUUCCGUCAAGCCACCCGACUCGCCUCGAGUCCAAUCAACAGGGAUAAAUCCGCGCUCUGGCCCGGGCUCGAGGUGAGCAGGAAUCCUGUCGCAUUGCACCUCAGCCUGCAAGCCAAAGAAAGCCACCAUCGGCCAACGGUCCGCUGCCGAAGGGUCCGUGCACCGUGGUCAGGGAUUCGCGCCAGUGGGAGAAGGAAACAUAGCCACGUACACCCAUAGCUCUGAGAUCCCCGACUAACGGGAGAGGAGGAAUAUGCCACGUUCCACCCUAGGCGCAUCUCCCUAUUCAUUGCUUAGUCUAUAUUCCUCAAGUAGUUCUUUCCGGUGGGAAAGAGGAACAUCGCGGCAUUACACCGCCGGUCCAGAACUAUAUGAGUUCACUCCGAGUACUGAGAUUCCGGAUAUCGACUCCACAAGUCCGCAAGGGUCCAUAUCCACGCCUAAUACUCAUUGAACCCUAUCUUCGGGUCCAAUGCACUUUCCACCUAGUUCCAACUGCACUCUAGGAUCUUAAUUGCCUCCAUUUCACAACUAGUUUACUUUAACUCUAGGUUCCAUUCGUCGACCUAAUGUCUCUUUAACCACUAGGUAGACUGCCUGAAGCACUGAGAAUCGCCGACUCUUAGGAUUCAUACUCAACCUAUGUUCUUUAACACUAGGUUAGGUGACCCACUCGUUAUUUUAUCCUAGUUUAAAUACUCUAGAUGUCGAUGUAUCUAUGCCGACCUUGAUGUUAUGUAACCACUAGGGUUAAUGCCAACUCGAUCUACUUGAUGUCCUUACUUGUACUUAUCAAGGUAUUCUACAGUUCAUCACUAAUUAAUAUUUAGUAUCAACUACCAUGCAUCAUCUUGCAGUUUUAUCACAUGGACAAUGCACUUCUUAACAUUAUGUAUUAUGUCUAUCAUGGCCUCUCCUAGCAUCAUGUACCAUGCAAUUCAGCUAGACAAUGAGUAUUCUACAGCAUACUUAAUAUUCCAUGUAUUAUGGCACUAUAUUUCUCAUUACGUCACUAUGCAUUAAUCUAUUAUUGGCCUCAUUUACAUUCAUUAUGCACUCAACGGCUGGAUUCUUAAUCAUCUUAGACAUAAAGGGCGACCUAGCGCAUCAUCGGUAAACACAACCCCACCUUAAACUUCGCCGUUCCGGAGCUUGCUCGUCGACCCACUUGCAAUCGGUCCCUCCGCGGCACUCGGCACCCGUUUGGGCCCGAGUCUCACAGAUUGCUUUCAAGAGCGGUCGCUUCGCCCGUUUCAAGUCGCUAACGAUCUUGGCCGUAGUAUGAUGCUCGGGACCCAAUUUCACAAAUUCAUGGAACGUCGCCUCGGAACCAUUCCAGGCGGGGGACAACCGAAGCUAGCCAAGCGUCCGUUCUUCAAUAUGCUUUGCAAGCAGGCUCGUUCGGCAUUGCCGAAUCGUCUGUUCGCCAACGUGUCUUGUUACGUAAUCAAUUAGGUUUACGAAGGGGUCAAUCUGAGAUCAAACCCCACCUAUUUCUUAAAACCCCUUUGGCCCUAGUUCGCGGACUACGGCAACAAUACCUCCACAAUAAAUCCGUAGAUUCAUGCAUGUAACUCUACUCAUAAGCCAUGCUAGGCAUCGCAUCUAAAACCAAUUUCUUAGAGCGUUUAACCGAAACACCUAAGAAAUCACAUUAAAAGCUUGCAGAAGCUUACUCGCUAACGCCUCCUCGCGAAGCACAAGGAAGGAAUGAAGAAGAUGGAAGCUCUUCCUCUUCUUUCUUCUUCUCUUCCUCCUCUCGUUCUUCUUCUUCUUCUUUUCUUCUAUUGUUAUGGAGGGAGAUAGGAGGUGGGCGGUUGGGGUUGAAAGGUGAGGCGACAAGACGAGGAGGCGAGAGAGGCUUCUUACUCCUCAUCUAUACAACUGUAACCCAUGCAACCGGGAUUGGCAGGAAAACCUCAACAGACAAGCCACUCUGCUGCAAACACGCGGAACUGGGCAGUUUCGGGGUUCGGAACGGUGUGCUACAUGAGGGCCGAGUCUCUGGUGAGAUCGGUCUCCCUACCUGGACCGCGGUCCCCAGAGAGACCUCCCAGCCGGAGGACUUGCCAGUUUGUAGCUUCGUCGGUUUUCGCUCCGUUCUGGCCCCGUUUUCGUUGGAUUGACCUCCGAUCUCGUCUUAAUCGAACCGAGACCUCUCCACACAAUGUUAUUCGCAAAGCAUGUUUUCCAUACUUAUCCAUCCUCGCUAAGCCGGAUGUUUGUAGCUCACAGGCCGAAUUUUAGCCCAUUAGUCGGGUUCCCGUUUCCGCGCCUACGCGCACCGAAACGCAUCGAUAGCUCACCGAACUUCCACCAACUUACACCGAAGCCAUUCAACAAUGGCUCUUACGAUCGAGAUGUACACCAUAAAGCUCAACUAGUUUUAGAAGUCGGUACUGUACAAGUAAGACAUUACACAGUUGCGCCCCUCUAAACAGUAUAAUUUGCAACGGAGUACUUUUCUCAUUCAAUCGAAUAAAAGAGUUAAACGCUAAUUCAUAUUGUUUCUAUUAUGACCCGAGAUUGCUAAUUUAGAGACGAGCCAUCGGAUGUCGAAGCGUUGUGAAGAAGAGCCAAAUCCGGAACAACAUUAACUCUCAGUUGCGACCUAACAGCGUAUAACUUCGGCAAAGAUACUUUUUCUCAUUCAAUCGAACAAGAAGAGUAAAGAAGCUACAUUAUAUUGGGUAUCUAGUUGUAUCCGGGGAGAGUGUUAAUUUUGAACGACGAUCGAUGUCAAUGUUGACGAAGAACAAAAUAGUAAACAUAUUAGACCUACUCAGUUCGCUCCUAACAGUUAUAACGUUGCAACGGGAGUAUACUUUUUCUCAUUCAAUCGAAAAAGGUAUAAAAGCUAUUAUAAUCGUUCUAUUAUGCCUCUGGAGUGUAAAUUUGGAACAAAUCGUUGUCAACCUUCACAAGACCCAAAACCGGAACAAACAUUAGACUUCUCAGUUGCGCCCUAACAGCAUAAAUUUGCAACGAAGUACUUUUUCUCAUUCAUCCGAACAAAGAGUUAAAAAGCUAUUAAAUUGUUCUAUUUGCCUCGAGAGUGUAAUUUGGAAAGAAUCCGAUGUCAACGUUGCAAGAACAAAAACCGGAACAACAUUGGGACUCACUCAGUUGGCCCUAACAGUAUAACUUUGCAACGAGUACUUUUCUUUCAUUCAAUCGAACAAAAGAGUAAAGCUAAUUAUUAUUUUUCCAUUAUGCUCGGAGAUUGUUAACUUAGAACCGAAUCGUUGUUCAACCUUCACAAGACAAGAACACGGAAAAAAUUAAGACUGCUUAGUUGGCCCUACAGUAUAACUUUCCAACCAGUACUUUUUCGACAUUCUAAUCGAACAAAGAGUAAAAAGCUAAUCGUAUAUAGUAUCUACUAAUUGCCAGAGGAGUGAUAAAUUUGGAACGCAAAUCGAUGUCACUAUUUACAAAAAUCAAACACCGCGGAACAACAUUAGACUACGUCAGUCUUGCCUUAAUCAAUAGUAUAGAAUUUGUUACGAGUAACUUUUUCUCAUUCAAGAUCGACAAAAAAAGAGUAAAACUAAUUAUAUUAUUCUAUUAUGCCACCGGGAGUGUUAAAUUUAGGAACAAAUCUGGGAUUGGACAGACCUCUCACAAGAACCAAAAACCCGGAACAACAGUUAGACACUUCAGUUGCCGCCUAAUAGCUAUAACUUUUGCAACGAUACUUUUUUCCUAACUCAGAAGAUCGAACAAAGAGUAAAACCUGAAUUAUAUGAUUCAUACUUAAUGCGCGAGAGUGUAAAUUGGAAACAAAUUGAUGUCAACCUUACACAAGGAACCAAAAUACGGACAACAUUUAGACCACUCAGUUAGCGCACCUAACAGAUAAUAACUUUGGCAACGAGUACUUUUUCUCAAUCAUGCGAACAAAGAAGUUAAAAGCUAAUUCUAUGUGUUCUACUUAUGCUCUGAGAAUGUAAAAUUAAGGAAGGAAGCGAUGUCUAUGUUCAGAAGAUAGAAAAACUGGAACCACCACACCAUUAAGUACCUCAGUUGCGCGCCUUACCGUAUAAAUUUGCAAAGCGAGUCGUUUUUCUGCUUCAAUCGAACAAAGAGUUAAACAUGUUCUAUUAUGCCCCUUGAGAGUGAUAAAUUUGGAACGAAUGAUGUCAACCUUUACAAAGACACCAAAACCCGUAACACAAUAGACUAUCAGUUGCGCCUAACAGUAUAACUUUGCAACGGUACCUUUUCUCAUAUCAACUGACAUAAAGAGUAAAGCUAUAAUAUUGUCUAUUCUGCCCCGAGAUUGCUAAUUAGAACGAAAUCGAUAGUCAACGUUGACAAGAACUCAAAAACAGGAACAACAUUGGAACUACUCAGUUGCGCCCUAACAGUAUAACUUUGCAACGAGUACCUUUUCUCGUUCAAUCGAACAAAGAGUAAAAGCUAAUUAUAUUGUUCUAUUAUGCCCCGAGAUUGUUAAUUUAGAACGAAUCGAUGUCAACGUUGAAAAGAACCAAAACCGGAACAACAUUAGACUACUCAGUUGCGCAUAAACAGUAUAACUUUACAACGAGUACUUUUUCUCAUUCAAUCGAACAAAGAGUAAAAGCUAAUUAUAUUGGUCUAUUAUGCCCCGAGCGUGUUAAUUUAGAACGAAUCGAUGUCAAU
rnacentral:lncRNA from 1 species